GUCUUAUCUUCGGAUAUGACACCUGAUAAACUGGAAAAAAAUACAGAGAAGAUUAGCAUGGCCCCUGCGCAAGGAUG
rnacentral:snRNA from 1 species